CUUAGCUUAGCAUACAAAAUGUAGUCGUUCAAUCAAUCAACAAAGCUGAAUUACCUUUAGUUAUAUUCAGUAUCGUGAUAGCAAAGGUUCCUCUUCAGCCCCACAGACACAAAAGAGGUUCAAAUGUUUAAGUUUAAGUAAUAACAAUGAGAAUCAAACCGUUAGCUAUUUGCAAAGGAUAAAACUUCUGGGUUUCUAAUUUUUCAUCACAGUAAAGGCGAGAGACCCUUGUGUGUUCUUAUUUCAAGAACUUUAUUUUGUUUUGCGACAAUUUUUUAUGAUCAACAACAAUUGGAGUAAAAGAUUACAUCGUGGUCCAUCCUAAUAAUGGGAGACAUUUGAAAGCAAUUUCUAGAAUUAUAACAUUUACUGAGCAGAUUUUCAACAAUAUUAGAAGUACUAGUCUGAAUAAAUGUGCACUUAAUUUGCUUCUCUAAUAAUUCAGUCCUGGUACUUAUAAAUGUAAUUGAUUGAUUGAGGGUAGCCAUUACAUUUUAUUUUGAAAACAAAACAUUUAUUUUUUCAACAGAACUAGAGAACAAAAUAACAACAAUUUGAACUCACUGUAAUUUAUGAUAAAAAAAAAUCUGCCAAAAAAGUAAUUUAUAUGAGAAACAAUUAAAAUGUUUCAAUGUCUAACAAUUCUGGGAUUGCUGUCAUUUCUUUCUGCAUGGGAGUACGGGGUAUUGAUCACGUAUUUAUUGAUUAUUGUCACCAAAUCGGUAAAUGGUAAAGCAAAAGAGAACAGCUUUCUUGAGGAAAAGAUUCAUGCUUCUUAUGUCUCACUUCUGUUCUGAUAUCAGACUGCUUGGAUCGUUUUUAAUCUUCUUUCUGAGAAGUAAAAAACAGAAAGGUCAGUGAGAUGUAAAGCAGGAAAAAGAUCUCAACUUUUGUUUCUGUUUACAUCAAACUAUUGAUUAAUCUAUUUGUUAAAUAGAAAAAAAAGUCAUAUUUGCAUUUUGUUCAUUUAGACUCUUUAUCAUUUAACAGUAUUGCAAGAUAAUAAAAUAAAUGAUAAUACAUUUUUGAUUACACACUUACAUUAUUUCUUCCUUAAUCAUCGGUGGAGAAGUUGGUGGAUGAACCUGUGAACAAAGAAAAAAAGUGUCUAAAAGUGCUCUGUUGAGUUCAAGAAUUGUAUUUAUUGUAAAUGAAAUGAAAAAAUAAAUCGGUUUUACCUUUCCAAAGAUUGAGCAGCCACCGGGCAUCCGCCAGCAGCCGGAUCGUUUGGGCAGCAGCUUCUUCACGUGUGCUGCUGGUCCUGUUGUGUCUGCAGGUCUUCCCGCUCAUCUCAGCCUUCUCUUCUGCUGAUGCAGCCGUUCUGAGGAGAGACGAUCAGGAGCAGCUGCUUGCUGAUCAGGAGCUGCUGGCCAAACGACCCGGCUGCUGGCGGAUGCCCGGUGGCUGCUCAAUCUUUGGAAUUGUUCGUCCACCAACUUCUCCACGGAUGAUUAAGGAAGACAUAAUAAAGAAGAUUAAAAACGAUCCAAGCAGUCUGAUAUCAGAACAGAAGUGAGACAUAAGAAGCAUGAAUCUUUUCCUCAAGAAAGCUGUUCUCUUUUGCUUUACCAUUUACCGAUUUGGUGACAAUAAUCAAUAAAUACGUGAUCAAUACCCCGUACUCCCAUGCAGAAAGAAAUGACAGCAAUCCCAGAAUUGUUACAGACAUUGAAACAUUUCAAUUGUUUCUCAUAUAAAUUACUUUUUUGGCAGAUUUUUUUUAUCAUAAAUUACAGUGAGUUCAAAUUGUUGUUAUUUUGUUCUCUAGUUCUGUUGAAAAAAGGAAUUGUUUUGUUUUCAAAAUAAAAUGUAAUGGCUACCCUCAAUCAAUCGAUUACAUUUAUAAGUACCAGGACUGAAUUAUUAGAGAAGCAAAUUAAGUGCACAUUUAUUCAGACUAGUACUUCUAAUAUUGUUGAAAAUCUGCUCAGUAAAUGUUAUAAUUCUAGAAAUUGCUUUCAAAUGUCUCCCAUUAUUAGGAUGGACCACGAUGUAAUCUUUUACUCCAAUUGUUGUUGAUCAUAAAAAAUUGUCGCAAAACAAAAUAAAGUUCUUGAAAUAAGAACACACAAGGGUAUCUCGCCUUUACUGUGUUGAAAAUUAGAAACCCAGAAGUUUUAUCCUUUGCAAAUAGCUAACGGUUCGAUUCUCAUUGUUAUUACUUAAACAUUUUAACCUCUUUUGUGUCUGUGGGGCUGAAGAGGAACCUUUGCUAUCACGAUACUGAAUAUAACUAAAGGUAAUUCAGCUUUGUUGAUUGAUUGAAAGACUACAUUUUGUAUGCUAAGCUAAGCUAACCCUGUCCUGACUUAAGCCUAGUUUAUGCUUCUGCGUUUUCAGAGCGACGCAAGGAAACGCAGACGUAAGAGCCCCUCGUGUGUCCCGCAGCGCACAAGGCUGCGAUUGGUCCGCUAAACACGUCCUUUACGGAGUCUCACGUUUCCGUUUUCAUAGCCCGAUACCGCCAUUAUUAAAACGAAGAAUGUUUACGAGAGAACGGAUCAGAUUUAAAUACUUUGGUCGGAAGAAAUGCGUAAAUUUAGUAGUUAAUAUAACAGGCCUCCUUACUGGGUGCCUAUAGGGAAAUAUGUAAAGAAAGCUAAGUGAGCCUAAAGCGAAGAGGAGGUUGGAGGCUGAGUUGGGUAGAAGGACAUGAUAAUAAACUACAGUGAAAGAGUGUUUUUUUAAUUAACUGAUCAUCUGCAUACGAGAAGCUCAUUGGAGUCGAUGUGCUCACCUGAGCAGCAGGCUGCAGAGGAUCGAUCCGUGUGGAGUCUGCAUCAGCAGAUGGGAAGGCUGUGAUGAGCAGGAAGAUCUGCAGAGACAACAGGACCAG
ensembl:lncRNA